rnacentral:lncRNA from 1 species
GCCUGGGCAAUGGCGGGCGCCCCUGCCCCAGCCUCGCUGCCGCCUUGCAGUUUGAUCUCAGACUGCUGUGCUAGCAAUCAGCGAGACUCCAUGGGCGUAGGACCCUCUGAGCCAGAGGCUGAGUAGUCUCAAGAUCUGAAGACAGCAGAAACCUGGGAAAGUUAAUGAUAUACGUUGUUAUACUCCAAGUGUGAGUCUGAAGACAAGG